AUUGAACGCUGGCGGCAGGCCUAACACAUGCAAGUCGAGCGGAUGAAGGGAGCUUGCUCCUGGAUUCAGCGGCGGACGGGUGAGUAAUGCCUAGGAAUCUGCCUGGUAGUGGGGGAUAACGUCCGGAAACGGGCGCUAAUACCGCAUACGUCCUGCGGGAGAAAGUGGGGGAUCUUCGGACCUCACGCUAUCAGAUGAGCCUAGGUCGGAUUAGCUAGUUGGUGGGGUAAAGGCCUACCAAGGCGACGAUCCGUAACUGGUCUGAGAGGAUGAUCAGUCACACUAGAACUGAGACACGGUCCAGGCGCCUACGGGAAGCAACAGUGGGGAAUAUUGGACAAUGGGCGAAAACCUGAUCCAGCCAUGCCGCGUGUGUGGAAGAGGUCUUCGGAUUGUGAAGCACUUUAAGUUGGGAGGAAGGGCAGUAAGUUAAUACCUUGCUGUUUUGACGUUACCAACAGAAUAAGCACCGGCUAACUUCGUG
rnacentral:rRNA from 1 species